GGGGGAAAUCGAGCAGGCUAUCCUGCAAAGAAAGAACAACGGCAGGGCUAGAGUCCCCGGGAUAGUUCCGACGUUCAAGUUAGUAGAGCUUAUGAAGAGGGCAACAGUAUAGAGUACUGUAGAUGACGUACCUUGUAUUGUAAUGUGGUGCCAUAUUUAUAGGUUUGAGGGUAGUGGUUUCCAUAUAGGAGUAAGAAUCCCCUAGGGUUUGGAGUCUUUCUAGGGUUUUGUAAGAUGGCCCCGAAAGGCUCGGAGGCCGCGGCCCACGAGGCCCACCGCAUGGAGAGGGAGCGACUCCAGCCGAGCUGGCCUUCCCUUUUCCCGAGCUGACGUGCCC
rnacentral:lncRNA from 1 species